UACGGGGGGCGCAAGCGUUGUUCGGAUUUACUGGGCGUAAAGGGCGCGUAGGCGGCCAGCACAAGUCAGUUGUGAAAUCUCCGAGCUUAACUCGGAAAGGUCAACUGAUACUGUGCGGCUAGAGUGCGGAAGGGGCAACUGGAAUUCUUGGUGUAGCGGUGAAAUGCGUAGAUAUCAAGAGGAACACCUGCGGCGAAGGCGGGUUGCUGGGCCGACACUGACGCUGAGGCGCGAAAGCCAGGGGAGCGAACGGG
rnacentral:rRNA from 1 species